rnacentral:rRNA from 1 species
GACGAACGCUGGCGGCGUGCUUAACACAUGCAAGUCGAACGAUGAAGCCGCUUCGGUGGUGGAUUAGUGGCGAACGGGUGAGUAACACGUGGGCAAUCUGCCCUGCACUCUGGGACAAGCCCUGGAAACGGGGUCUAAUACCGGAUACGACCAUCGGCCGCAUGGCCUGGUGGUGGAAAGCUCUGGUGGUGCAGGAUGAGCCCGCGGCCUAUCAGCUUGUUGGUGGGGUGAUGGCCUACCAAGGCGACGACGGGUAGCCGGCCUGAGAGGGCGACCGGCCACACUGGGGCUGGGACACGGCCCAGACUCCUACGGGAGGCAGCAGUGGGGAAUAUUGCACAAUGGGCGCAAGCCUGAUGCAGCGACGCCGCGUGAGGGAUGACGGCCUUCGGGUUGUAAACCUCUUUCAGCAGGGAAGAAGCUUUCGGGUGACGGUACCUGCAGAAGAAGCACCGGCUAACUACGUGCCAGCCGCCGCCGUAA